rnacentral:rRNA from 1 species
AUUGAACGCUGGCGGCAUGCCUUACACAUGCAAGUCGAACGGCAGCACGGGAGCAAUCCUGGUGGCGAGUGGCGAAUGGGUGAGUAAUAUAUCGGAACGUGCCCAGUAGUGGGGGAUAACUGCUCGAAAGAGCAGCUAAUACCGCAUACGACCUGAAGGUGAAAGGGGGGGAUCGCAAGACCUCUCGCUAUUGGAGCGGCCGAUAUCAGAUUAGCUAGUUGGUGGGGUAAAGGCCUACCAAGGCAACGAUCUGUAGUUGGUCUGAGAGGACGACCAGCCACCCUGGGACUGAGACACGGCCCAGAAUCCUACGGGAGGCAGCAGUGGGGAAUUUUGGACAAUGGGCGCAAGCCUGAUCCAGCAAUGCCGCGUGCAGGAAGAAGGCCUUCGGGUUGUAAACUGCUUUUGUCAGGGAAGAAAUCCUCUAGGUUAAUACCCUUGGGGGGAUGACGGUACCUGAAGAAUAAGCACCGGCUAACUACGUGCCAGCCGCCGCGGUAAUAC